GCGGCGUGGGCCGCUGCCUUGGAAACGCGAAGAGCAUUCUCUCCCCAACCCGGCUACGGUGUGCGGGCGAGGGUCUCGUGGUGGGAGAAGGUGCUGCUCACGGGACGCGAUGCUGUGUUCCCGAAGGCUGGGCGGCCUUGGAGCCGGAGUAGCGGCUCUGCGGCCGGGGCGAGCGGACCAGACUGGCCUCCGAGCCGGGAUUCAGGCCCGAAGGGUCAGCACCAGCUGGUCCCCAGUAGGCGCUGCCUUCAACGUCAAGCCUCAGGGCCGCCGCUUGGACCUUUUCAGCGAGCGCCGGGGUCUUUUUGGAGUUCCUGAGCUCAGUGCCCCAGAAGGAUUUCAGGUUGCACAAGAAAAAGCCUUGAGAAAGACAGAAUUGCUUGUGGAACGUGCGUGUUCUACCCCUCCUGGGCCCCAGACUGUACUCAUUUUUGAUGAACUCUCAGAUUCCUUGUGCAAAGUGGCCGACUUGGCUGAUUUUGUGAAAAUUGCUCACCCUGAGCCAGCAUUCAGAGACGCAGCAGAAGAAGCCUGUAGAAGUAUUGGCACCGUCGUAGAGAAGUUGAACACAAAUGUGGAAUUAUAUCAAAGUUUGCAAAAAUUACUAGCUGAUAAAAAACUCAUGGAUUCUCUUGAUCCAGAAACCAGGAGAGUGGCUGAACUAUUUAUGUUUGAUUUUGAAAUCAGUGGAAUCCAUCUAGACAAAGAAAAGCGUAAAAGAGCAGUGGACCUUAAUGUUAAAAUUUUGGAUUUGAGUAGUGCAUUUCUUAUGGGAACCAACUUUCCCAACAAGAUUGAGAAGCAUCUCUUACCAGAACACGUUCGCCAUAACUUUAUAUCUGAUGGGAAUCAUGUAAUAAUUGAUGGUCUCCAUGCAGAAGCAUCAGAUGACUUGGUACGAGAAGCUGCUUAUAAAAUUUUUCUUUAUCCCAACACUGGUCAACUGAAAUGUUUAGAAGAAUUGCUGAGCAAUAGAGAUCUUCUGGCAAAGUUAGUAGGGUAUUCUACAUUUUCCCACAGAGCUCUCCAGGGAACAAUAGCUAAAAAUCCAGAGACUGUCAUGCAGUUCCUUGAGAAACUAUCAGACAGACUUUCUGAAAGAACUGUAAAAGAUUUUGAGAUGAUACGAGGGAUGAAAAUGAAACUAAAUCCUCAAAAAUCUGAAGUAAUGCCAUGGGAUCCCCCCUACUACAGUGGUGUGAUUCGUGCAGAGAGGUAUAAUAUUGAGCCCAGUUUAUAUUGCCCGUUCUUCUCCCUUGGAGCAUGCAUGGAAGGCUUGAAUAUUUUGUUUAACAAACUGUUGGGGAUUUCAUUAUAUGCAGAACAGCCUGCAAAAGGAGAGGUGUGGUGUGAAGAUGUCCGAAAACUGGCUGUCGUUCAUGAAUCUGAAGGAUUGUUGGGAUACAUUUACUGUGAUUUUUUUCAACGAGCAGACAAACCCCAUCAGGAUUGCCAUUUUACAAUCCGAGGAGGCAGAUUAAAGGAAGACGGAGACUACCAACUCCCAGUUGUAGUUCUUAUGUUGAAUCUCCCCCACUCCUCCAGGGGUUCACCAACUUUGUUAACUCCUGGAAUGAUGGAGAAUCUUUUCCAUGAAAUGGGACACGCUAUGCAUUCUAUGCUGGGACGCACUCGUUACCAACACAUCACUGGGACCAGGUGCCCCACUGAUUUUGCAGAGGUUCCUUCUAUUCUUAUGGAGUACUUUGCAAAUGAUUAUCGCGUGGUUAACCAGUUUGCCAGACAUUAUCAGACCGGGCAGCCACUGCCAAAAAACAUGGUGUCUCGUCUUUGUGAAUCUAAAAAGGUCUGUGCUGCAGCUGAUAUGCAACUUCAGGUCUUUUAUGCCACUCUGGAUCAAAUCUACCAUGGUAAGCAUCCCCUGAGGACGUCAACCACAAACAUUCUCAAGGAAACACAAGAGAAAUUCUACGGCUUACCUUAUGUUCCAAAUACUGCCUGGCAGCUGCGAUUCAGCCAUCUUGUGGGCUAUGGUGCCAAAUAUUACUCUUACCUGAUGUCCAGGGCAGUGGCUUCCAUGGUUUGGAAGGAAUGCUUUCUACAGGACCCGUUUAACAGGGCCGCCGGGGAGCGCUACCGCAGGGAGAUGCUGGCCCAUGGUGGGGGCAAGGAGCCCAUGCUCAUGGUGGAAGGAAUGCUUCAGAAGUGUCCUUCUGUUGAUGACUUUGUAAGUGCCCUUGUCUCUGACUUGGACCUGGACUUCGAAACUUUCUUCAUGGAUUCUGAAUAACGGAAACAUCCUCAAUUUUUGCAUCAUGGUCAUAGUGUUUAGGUACCGCACGGAUGGACUCAGAACAGAGAAGACGUGAACUCAUACUUUUCUGGCCUGAAGAAUCUAGAGGAACAGUCUGUGAGGUCAGAAACAUCAUCAGUGACCUGCCUGUGCUCGGUCCACUGGGAUGCAAGGGGAGCCAACCAUUCAUCCCUCCCACCUCCUGCUCACACUUAGAAAUCCAAAUCUAUGCCCUCAGAAAGCAGAGCAGCUGGCAUACCGCCCAGUUGGAGAUGAGUAAGUACAAAACAGAAAUCUGUAUGGAGCCUACCUGCAAACAUUCUUCAGAAGAAGGGGAAGGAGAUGUCACCUGGAAGAUGCUGUAGAAUCAUGACUGUGAAAGUCACUUUUAAAAGGAAU